rnacentral:tRNA from 3 species
GCGCCCGUAGCUCAACUGGAUAGAGUACCUGGCUUCGAACCAGAUGGUUGGAGGUUCAAAUCCUCCCGGGCGCA